UUAAAUUUUUGAAGUUAUCUUGGCUUUUUUGUUGGGUGAAAUCAGUAUAAAGAGUUUCUCUUUCUUUUAAAAUUAAUAGGAAUUAAAAAACUUUGAUUUAAAACCAGGAUUAGAUACCCUGUUAUUCUAAGUUAUAUUUAGACAGGGUAGUAAAAGUUGUUCUUCAAACCCAAAGAUUUUGGCGGCACUUUAUCCAAAUAGAGGAGCUUGUCCCUUAAUCGAUAGUCCCCGUUUUAUCUUUCCUCUGUUUGUAGAGCUUGUAUACCGCCGUUGUCAGAUCACUUUUAGAGAAUGUUUUCAAGUUAAAAGACUUUUCUACUUCAGGCCAAGGUGCAGUUUAUAUAGAGGUGGAGGUGAGCUACAAUUUUCUUUAGAAAUACGGAUUUCAAGCCUCGAAGCUGGUUGAAGGUGGAUUUAUUAGUAAAGUAA
rnacentral:rRNA from 1 species